rnacentral:rRNA from 1 species
AUUGAACGCUGGCGGCAGGCCUAACACAUGCAAGUCGAGCGGAUGAAGGGAGCUUGCUCCUGGAUUCAGCGGCGGACGGGUGAGUAAUGCCUAGGAAUCUGCCUGGUAGUGGGGGAUAACGUCCGGAAACGGGCGCUAAUACCGCAUACGUCCUGAGGGAGAAAGUGGGGGAUCUUCGGACCUCACGCUAUCAGAUGAGCCUAGGUCGGAUUAGCUAGUUGGUGGGGUAAAGGCCUACCAAGGCGACGAUCCGUAACUGGUCUGAGAGGAUGAUCAGUCACACUGGAACUGGGACACGGUCCAGACUCCUACGGGAGGCAGCAGUGGGGAAUAUUGGACAAUGGGCGAAAGCCUGAUCCAGCCAUGCCGCGUGUGUGAAGAAGGUCUUCGGAUUGUAAAGCACUUUAAGUUGGGAGGAAGGGCAGUAAGUUAAUACCUUGCUGUUUUGACGUUACCAACAGAAGAAGCACCGGCUAACUUCGUG